GUACACAAAUGGUAACUAUUUUCACUGUAGUUGAAAACAUAAUGCCAAGAAAAUGUGUAAUUUUCCUUUCUAAAAUGGGGACAAAACAGUUUGGAUACAUUUGUCACUUUUUUUUUUCCUGCAUAAUGACUCACCUAUUUGUUCUAAUUUUGGUGACUUUUAAAUUUUGCAGAAAUUUCGGAGUGCUUCAGUUGGGGCUGAGGAGUACAUGUAUGACCAGACAUCAAGUGGCACAUUUCAAUACACCCUGGAAGCCACCAAAUCUCUCCGUCAGAAGCAGGGGGAGGGCCCCAUGACCUACCUCAACAAGGGACAGUUCUAUGCCAUCACGCUCAGCGAGACGGGGGACAACAAGUGCUUCCGACACCCCAUCAGCAAAGUCAGGGUAAGGGCCUCAUUUCUCCAAUAAAGCACAGAGGGAUCAGGUGAAAGCAGUGACUACCUGCCAGCCUUGUGGAAGGGCAUGGAAAAAAAUCCCAAAAUAAAUAAUUCUAGAACAAAUGUCAGAGAGUUGGGGCAAGAGAACUUAUUGGCUUGCAGUUUAUCAUCUUAAUCAGUAACUAAUAAACCCCAGGGAAGGGACGUGGUUGGAACAUGCUUUCUGACUGUAUCCAAGGAAUUUCCCCAGCUUCAUUCAUUGCCUAUGUGCUACCUAGUUGUUGUCGUCGUUGUUUUCAAUCAAAUGAUGUGCAGUUUUCAGGUAAGCAGCUGUAAGUCAGAGCGUAUGUGUGGGCAGGAAAGAGCUGGGCUUUCUUCUGAAAAGGAGGGUGCAGUUCAUUCUGCGUCCCUGGGCCCUCCGCAGCUUUGCUAAAAGACUUCUGCAGCCUGGCACUUACUCAGGAGUCAAGAGGUGGGCAUGAUAUGAUCCCUACCAGGAGUGACUUGGAGGAAUUUUCACAUUCACGAGUUAUUAGUUCUAUUUGUGGGACAUGAAACUGCCUUGGAAGCCUGCCAGCUUCUGGCAUUCUCGCUACUGCCAAGAAGGGAGGGAACUGGUAAUCCCUGUCGACUGAAAAGGAAAAUUAUAGCAGAGCUCUCAAAAGAGGUUGAAGGAGUUUCGUGCCCUGUUGUAAAAUGAUUUAUGCUGCUGUGUGCGUGGUGUGCACUCCGAAGCUCUUUCCUCUGCAUACUGAGAAAGGAGCGCCGUGCUGUGCCGAGCCCAGUGAGUUUACCCCAACCCAGAUUCCCAGGCAAAGGUAACCCCUGAGGUAGAAGAGAAAAGAGUGUCCAGGCGCCUGCUGGCCGGUUUGCCUGUUACUAGCUUUUAGGUAAAAUCAUUGCAGUGCUGCUUUCUUGAAUCAACCCGGUUUUACGGCUUUGUUUCCAGGAGAAAGACAAGGAAGAAUUGCUGCUCAUUUGUCCAGCAGGCCUUUCUCCCUCCAAGGCCAUCCCAGUUCCAGAUCGGAGUGACAGGAGGCAGGAGGCAGGGCGGUUGAGAGUGAGGGGAAAGACAGGAAGGAUGUGGGGCUAACGACCCACCUGAGGCUGAACCCGUGGCAGGUGGAAAAGUGCUGAGUUUGCCCUCCAGAGGAGUUAGUAUGUUCCGACCCUGAGGUCAAGGCUACGGUGGAGGUAUGCCGUCAGCCGCAGCAGCAUCAUCGUCGUCAUCAUCCCCAUCAUCACGACAACCAGGGCCACAAUGUGACAGCUAGUCUUUAUUGAGUGUAUCUUCUGUGUGCUGGACACUGUGUUGAGCACUGUACAUCUAG
ensembl:lncRNA